rnacentral:rRNA from 1 species
CGGCGAGUGAAGCGGCAACAGCUCAAAUUUGAAAUCNNNNNNNNNGNGGGGUCCGAGUUGUACUUUGCAGAGGGUGGUUCGGCAACGGCGCCUGUCUAAGUUCCUUGGAACGGGACGUCAGAGAGGGUGAGAACCCCGUACGCGGCAGGUGCCUGCGCCAUGUGAACCCCCUUCGACGAGUCGAGUUGUUUGGGAAUGCAGCUCUAAAUGGGAGGUAUAUUUCUUCUAAAGCUAAAUACUGGCCAGAGACCGAUAGCGCACAAGUAGAGUGAUCGAAAGAUGAAAAGCACUUUGGAAAGAGAGUCAAACAGCACGUGAAAUUGUUGAAAGGGAAGCGCUUGCAACCAGACUUGGCUGCCGCUGUUCAUCGGGGGUCCGUCCCCCGUGCACUCGGCGGCAGGCAGGCCAGCAUCAGUUGGGGCGGCUGGAGAAAGGCUUUGGGAAUGUAGCUCUCUUCGGGGAGUGUUAUAGCCCAGGGCGUCAUGCAGCCAGCCCCGACUGAGGUCCGCGCUUCGGCUAGGAUGCUGGCGUAAUGGUCGCAAGCGGCCCGUCUUGAAACACGGACCAAGGAGUCUAACAUCUAUGCGAGUGUUUGGGUGUCAAGCCCGGGCGCGGAAUGAAAGUGAACGGAGGUGGGACCCAGGGCGCGAGCUCUGGCGCACCAUCGACCGAUCCUGAUGUCUUCGGAUGGAUUUGAGUAAGAGCAUA